rnacentral:rRNA from 1 species
GAUGAACGCUGGCGGCGUGCCUAAUACAUGCAAGUCGAGCGAACAGGCGAGGUGCUUGUUCCUCUUACGUGAGCGGCGGACGGGUGAGUAACACGUGGAUAACCUGCCUAUAAGAGUGGGAUAACUUCGGGAAACGGGUGCUAAUACCGGAUAAUAUCUUGAACCACAUGGUUCAAUAGUGAAAGACGCAUUUGCUGUCAUCUAUGAAGAUAUCCGCGCGUAUUUGGCUAUUUGGUAAGUUAACGGUUUACCAAGGGAAGAAUGCGUAGCCGACCUAGGAGGGGAAUCGGCCACACGGGAACUGGGCACAGCUCCAGACUCCUACGGGAGGCACCGGAAGGGAAUCUUCCGCAAUGGCCGAAAGCCUAACGGACCAACGCCGGGUGAGUAAUGAAGGUCUUCGGACCGUAAAACUCUGUUAUAAGGGAAGAACAAAUGUGUAAGUAAAUACGCACGACUUGACGGUAACUAAUCAGAAAGCCACGGCUAACUACGUG